rnacentral:rRNA from 1 species
GAUCCAGCAAUGCCGCGUGAGUGAAGAAGGCCUUCGCGUUGUAAAGCUCUUUCGGACGGGACGAAAUGGCAUCCGCCAAUACCGGGUGUCGAUGACGGUACCGUAAGAAGAAGCACCGGCUAACUACGUGCCAGCAGCCGCGGUAAUACGUAGGGUGCGAGCGUUAAUCGGAAUUACUGGGCGUAAAGCGUGCGCAGGCGGUUCGUUAAGACAGAUGUGAAAUCCCCGGGCUUAACCUGGGAACUGCAUUUGUGACUGGCGAACUAGAGUUCGGUAGAGGGGGGUGGA